GUUGUAUGAUUCCGAGAUCAUGAAUUAUAUUUAUCUUGUUUUAUUUGGUAGGUGGGAAAUCGAGCAAAAUAGAGUUACAUGUAUUUAUAUAUAUAUAUAUAUAUAAAUUUUGCACGCGACUGUCUCAGGAAUGUGACAUAGUGUGACACUUAUGUGCCAGCUCAAAGCCAGUUAUUUUGCGUAGAGAUGAUAGAGCAUGCACGAACUGAAGGAAAACAGCAAUAGGAAAUUAGGAAAAUAAGCACACGGGUCGCGGAGAAGUCUCGCGCCGCUGAAGGACUCCCACGUGACUGAGCUGAGCAGCUCGAGCUACAUCCGCCGCUCGCUUCCACAGACAGGACGGAGCGGAACCGAGCCGAGACUCGUCUGAAGACAUUUCUCUUCACCUGAAUAAUUCUUUCCAGCACAAGUCCCCAGCCUCUCACACCAUGGAGGGCUAUGGGCUGUCGGAAGAGGAGCUCUUCGCCUCGUCUCUGCACAACUUCACCUGGGAGACUGCGUUUGAGCAGUCGUAUGUCCCUCCGAAACAGGAAGUCAGAGUGACGUCGUGUGGAAGUGCUCGACUGUCGCUUGACACACGAUAUAUGCCAGCACUGACGAGGCGCAGAGGGACUGAAGGCAGCUGUGUGAAGAAGCAUCACACACGUGAACGGAUCGCAUUUGAUUUAGAACAGCGGCCUUGAAACAGAGAUUUCUGUGGUGCGGCUAUUGAAACAG
ensembl:lncRNA